AUACGUAGGGGGCGAGCGUUGUCCGGAAUUAUUGGGCGUAAAGCGCAUGUAGGCGGUUUGGUAAGUCAGAAGUGAAAUUCCUGAGCUCAACUCGGGUGCUGCUUCUGAAACUGCAGGACUUGAGUGCUGGAGGGGAUAGCGGAAUUCCUAGUGUAGCGGUGAAAUGCGUAGAUAUUAGGAGGAACACCAGAGGCGAAGGCGGCUUACGGGACUGUAACUGACGUUGAGGCUCGAAGGCGUGGGGAGCAAACAGGAUUAGAUACCCUGGUAGGCCACGCGGUAAACGAUGAUCUCUAGGGGUCGGCGGCCAUAGGCGGUCGGUGCCGCAGCAAACGCAAUAAGUGAUCCGCCUGGGGAGUACGUUCGCAAGAAUGAAACUCAAAGGAAUUGACGGGG
rnacentral:rRNA from 1 species